GAAAUGCGAUACGUAAUGUGAAUUGCAGAAUUCAGUGAAUCAUCGAAUCUUUGAACGCACCUUGCGCCCCUUGGCAUUCCGAGGGGCACACCCGUUUGAGUGUCGUGAAAUUCUCAAAAGCCCUUCCUUUGGUGGAGAGGAUUUUGGACUUGGAGGUCAUUUGCUGGUUUCACCUUGAAGCGAGCUCCUCCCAAAUGGAUUAGUGGGGUCUGCUUUGCCGAUCCUUGACGUGAUAAUACUUUUCUACGUCUCGGGUUUCUGCACUGUACCUCUGCUUCUAACCGUCUCAUUGACAACGAUGGUGUUCCGGUCACCGCCGAUUCAUCGGUGGGAGGCUCGACCCACAAAACGACCUUGACCUCAAAUCGGGUGGGACUACCCGCUGAACUUAA
rnacentral:misc_RNA from 1 species